AAACGAUUGAAGUCAGUCGUACCGGUGGGUAAUCAGCCUUUUGGGUGUGAUUAUGUGGAGCGUGAGGAGCUAAUCACCUUCAUGCCUGCAUAUUCGUGCACUUUGGGUGUACUUGCUCGUGUGGUAGGUUAACAUCAAUUUUGGUCGUCAUAAAAUG
rnacentral:rRNA from 1 species